rnacentral:rRNA from 1 species
AAGUCGUAACAAGGUUUCCGUAGGUGAACUGCGGAAGGAUCAUUGUCGAAAAUUGCCAAGCAGGGCGACCCGCGGACAUGUUGAAAUAAAUCGUCGGGGGCACGGCGUCUAACGUGGCACGGCGCCCUCGACAGCCGGCCGGGCCCGCACCUUACGGCCUGCUCCAGGAGCGGCAACGGGGGUGCGGGGCAAGGCUUGGCACAAGAACGAACCCCGGCGCGGAUCGCGCCAAGGAACGGUAACAUAGCGUGCGUUGCCUUGCCGCCGGAUGCCCGGCGAGCGAGGUGACGACCGGUCGUAUCUGAACGACUCUCGGCAACGGAUAUCUCGGCUCUCGCAUCGAUGAAGAACGUAGCGAAAUGCGAUACUUGGUGUGAAUUGCAGAAUCCCGUGAACCAUCGAGUCUUUGAACGCAAGUUGCGCCCGAAGCCUCUAGGCUGAGGGCACGUCUGCCUGGGCGUCACGCAUAGCGUCGCCACCGACCAAGCCACCGCGUCUCUGCAUGCUUGGUUGGGGCGGAGAGUGGCCUCCCGUGCGCCGUUGUGCGGUUGGCCUAAAAUCGGAGCUCGGCGACUGCGCCACGACGUCCGGUGGUGGACAGGGCGAAGGCCAAGGUUGCAUCGCGUCGCGCUCGGCCCGUCGCCGGUGAAGCUCGCACGAA